UACGUAGGGGGCAAGCGUUGUCCGGAUUUAUUGGGUUUAAAGGGUGCGUAGGCGGCCUAUUAAGUCAGUGGUGAAAUAUCUCAGCUUAACUGAGAAGGUGCCAAUGAUACUGAUGGGCUUGAGUACAGAUGAGGUAGGCGGGAAUUGACGGUGUAGCGGUGAAAUGCUUAGAUAUCGUCAAGAACACCUAUAGCGAAGGCAGCUUACUAGGCUGUAACUGACGCUGAGGCACGAAAGUGUGGGGAUCAAACAGG
rnacentral:rRNA from 1 species